AAUACGACUCUCGGCAACGGAUAUCUCGGCUCUCGCAUCGAUGAAGAACGUAGCGAAAUGCGAUACUUGGUGUGAAUUGCAGAAUCCCGUGAACCAUCGAGUCUUUGAACGCAAGUUGCGCCCUAAGCCGUUAGGCUGAGGGCACGUCUGCCUGGGUGUCACGC
rnacentral:rRNA from 3 species